AUGAACGCUGGCGGCGUGCUUAACACCUGCAAGUCGAACGAUGAAGCCCAGCUUGCUGGGUGGAUUAGUGGCGAACGGGUGAGUAACACGUGAGUAACCUGCCCUUAACUCUGGGAUAAGCCUGGGAAACUGGGUCUAAUACCGGAUAGGAGCGCCUACCGCAUGGUGGGUGUUGGAAAGAUUUAUCGGUUUUGGAUGGACUCGCGGCCUAUCAGCUUGUUGGUGAGGUAAUGGCUCACCAAGGCGACGACGGGUAGCCGGCCUGAGAGGGUGACCGGCCACACUGGGACUGAGACACGGCCCAGACUCCUACGGGAGGCAGCAGUGGGGAAUAUUGCACAAUGGGCGAAAGCCUGAUGCAGCGACGCCGCGUGAGGGAUGACGGCCUUCGGGUUGUAAACCUCUUUCAGUAGGGAAGAAGCGAAAGUGACGGUACCUGCAGAAGAAGCACCGGCUAACUACGUG
rnacentral:rRNA from 1 species